rnacentral:rRNA from 1 species
ACGGAAGGCAGCAGUGGGGAAUAUUGCACAAUGGGCGCAAGCCUGAUGCAGCAACGCCGCGUGAGGGAAGACGGUUUUCGGAUUGUAAACCUCUGUCAUCGGGGACGAUGAUGACUGUACCCGAGAAGGAAGCUCCGGCUAACUACGUGCCAGCAGCCGCGGUAAUACGUAGGGAGUGAGCGUUAUCCGGAAUUACUGGGUGUAAAGGGAGUGUAGGCGGGACUGUAAGUCAGAUGUGAAAUAUACCGGCUCAACUGGUAGACUGCAUUUGAAACUGCGGUUCUUGAGUGAAGUAGAGGUAAGCGGAAUUCCUAGUGUAGCGGUGAAAUGCGUAGAUAUUAGGAGGAACAUCAGUGGCGAAGGCGGCUUACUGGGCUUUAACUGACGCUGAGGCUCGAAAGCGUGGGGAGCAAACAGGAUUAGAUACCCUGGUA